AACGAACGCUGGCGGCAUGCCUAACACAUGCAAGUCGAACGAGACCUUCGGGUCUAGUGGCGCACGGGUGCGUAACGCGUGGGAACCUGCCCUUAGGUUCGGAAUAACUCCCCGAAAGGGGUGCUAAUACCGGAUAAUGUCUUCGGACCAAAGAUUUAUCGCCUUUGGAUGGGCCCGCGUUGGAUUAGCUAGUUGGUAGGGUAAAAGCCUACCAAGGGGACGAUCCAUAGCUGGUCUGAGAGGAUGAUCAGCCACACUGGGACUGAGACACGGCCCAGACUCCUAUGGGAGGCAGCAGUGGGAAUAUUGGACAAUGGGCGCAAGCCUGAUCCAGCCAUACCGCGUGGGUGAAGAAGGCCUUCGGGUUGUAAAGCCCUUUUGUUGGGAAAGAAAAGCAGCAGGUUAAUACCCCGCUGUUCUGACGGUACCCAAAGAAUAAGCACCGGCUAACUUCGUG
rnacentral:rRNA from 1 species